rnacentral:rRNA from 1 species
AAUAUUGGACAAUGGGCGAAAGCCUGAUCCAGCCAUGCCGCGUGUGUGAAGAAGGUCUUCGGAUUGUAAAGCACUUUAAGUUGGGAGGAAGGGCAGUAAGUUAAUACCUUGCUGUUUUGACGUUACUGCCAGAAUAAGAACCGCCUAACUACGUGCCAGCAGCCGCGGUAAGACGAAGGGUGCAAGCGUUAAUCGGAAUUACUGGGCGUAAAGCGCGCGUAGGUGGUUGUGUAAGUUGGAAGUGAAAGCCCCGGGCUUAACCUGGGAACUGCUUUCAUAACUGCUGAGCUAGAGUACGGUAGGGGGUAGUGGAAUUUCCUGUGUAGCGGUGAAAUGCGUAGAUAUAGGAAGGAACACCAGUGGCGAAGGCGACUACCUGGACUGAUACUGACACUGAGGUGCGAAAGCGUGGGGAGCAAAC